rnacentral:rRNA from 1 species
CGCGGCCUAUCAGCUUGUUGGUGAGGUAACGGCUCACCAAGGCGACGACGGGUAGCCGGCCUGAGAGGGUGACCGGCCACACUGGGACUGAGACACGGCCCAGACUCCUACGGGAGGCAGCAGUGGGGAAUAUUGCACAAUGGGCGAAAGCCUGAUGCAGCAACGCCGCGUGCGGGGAGAAGGCCCUAGGGUUGUAAACCGCUUUCAGCAGGGAAGAAAAUGACGGUACCUGCAGAAGAAGGUGCGGCCAACUACGUGCCAGCAGCCGCGGUGACACGUAGGCACCAAGCGUUGUCCGGAUUUAUUGGGCGUAAAGAGCUCGUAGGCGGUUCAGUAAGUCGGGUGUGAAAACUCUGGGCUCAACCCAGAGACGCCACUCGAUACUGCUGUGACUCGAGUGCGGUAGGGGAGCGGGGAAUUCCUAGUGUAGCGGUGAAAUGCGCAGAUAUUAGGAGGAACACCAGUGGCGAAGGCGCCGCUCUGGGCCGUAACUGACGCUGAGGAGCGAAAGCGUGGGUAGCAAACAGGAUUAGAUACCCUGGUAGUCCACGCCGUAAACGUUGGGCACUAGGUGUGGGUCUCAACCAACGAGAUCCGCGCCGUCGCUAACGCAUUAAGUGCCCCGCCUGGGGAGUACGG